rnacentral:ncRNA from 1 species
CCGUUAAUCGCAGCUUUAAAAUUGCAGUAUAUUCACUAAAUAUGGGAUCUAUAGAAUAGGCCAGAUAGAAAUAUUUAAAAUGUGUGAAAGCACGAUUAAGUUAUUAUAUUCCCUAUGUCCAAAAAAGUGCCAGCAGACGCGGUCACACUUUUAUAGGUAGUAAUUUAUAACGGGUAAAUAAAUGGUAUCAAGCUUUUCUUGGUGAAAUGAAAAUUAUAACACCGAUAUACCACUAUCACUUAUAAAUAUUGAGCAUAAACAAGGAUUAGAUACCCUUUUAUACAAUACACAACUUCAAAUACCCGAGUACUAAAAUCCUUAAGAUUAAAACUUAAACGACAUGGCGGCAAUUCCAACAUUUAGGGGAACUUACCAGAUAAAUGAUAACCACCAAGGUUAAUUUACUUUACGUUAAAUUUUGUAUGCCGUCGUCUAGGUACCACAAAAUGUGAUAUCAACAUUAAUACUCUAAAAAGGACAGAUCAAGGUGCAGACUAUCAUAAAGAUUAGGCGAGUUACUAUAAUGCAAAAGACUACUAGUGUAGUGGUCUGAAGAAGGACUUAAAAGUAACCAACAUUAUUUAUAUAUAGUGAAUCAAAAUGAAAUUGUGCACAAAUCGCCCGUCACUCUUGAGUUUACUUAAGACAAGUCGUAACAUAGUAGGGGUAGCGGAAGCUGUCCCUA